AUUCAUCUGACGAGUCCCGAAUGGGAUGAAACCUGCGUCCUGGAU
rnacentral:hammerhead_ribozyme from 1 species